AGAAUUCGCCCUUAGAGUUUGAUCCUGGCUCAGGAUGAACGCUGGCGGUAUGCCUAACACAUGCAAGUCGAACGAUGUCUUCGGACAUAGUGGCGGACGGGUGAGUAACGCGUGAGAAUCUGCCUCUAGGAUGGGGAUAACGGUUGGAAACGACCGCUAACACCCAAUAUGCCGUAAGGUGAAAAAUUUAUUGCCUGGAGAGGAGCUCGCGUCUGAUUAGCUAGUUGGUGGGGUAAGAGCUCACCAAGGCUUCGAUCAGUAGCUGGUCUGAGAGGAUGAGCAGCCACACUGGGACUGAGACACGGCCCAGACUCCUACGGGAGGCAGCAGUGGGGAAUUUUCCGCAAUGGGCGAAAGCCUGACGGAGCAAUACCGCGUGAGGGAGGAAUGCCUUUGGGUUGUAAACCUCUUUUCUCAGGGAAGAAGAUCUGACGGUACCUGAGGAAUAAGUAUCGGCUAACUCCGUGCCAGCAGCCGCGGUAAUACGGAGGAUGCAAGCGUUAUCCGGAAUCAUUGGGCGUAAAGCGUCCGCAGGUGGUUUCCAAAGUCUGCUGUUAAAGACUGGAGCUCAACUCCGGAACGGCGGUGGAAACUUGGAAACUAGAGUUCGGUAGGGGUAGCAGGAAUUCCCAGUGUAGCGGUGAAAUGCGUAGAUAUUGGGAAGAACAUCGGUGGCGAAGGCGUGCUACUGGACCGUAACUGACACUCAGGGACGAAAGCUAGGGGAGCGAAAGGGAUUAGAUACCCCUGUAGUCCUAGCUGUAAACGAUGGAAACUAGGUGUGGCUUGUAUCGACCCGA
rnacentral:rRNA from 1 species